CUUCCUUUUUCGUCUGGGCUGCCAACAUGCCAUCCAGACUGAGGAAGACCCGGAAACUUAGGGGCCACGUGAGCCACGGCCACGGCCGCAUAGGCAAGCACCGGAAGCACCCCGGCGGCCGCGGUAAUGCUGGUGGUCUGCAUCACCACCGGAUCAACUUCGACAAAUAGUAAGUGUCCUUGGACUGCUUUUAUUGACACAGCUUGGGAGGUAGGGGCAGAGAGAGGGCUGGCUUAAACAAAAAGUUCAGAAGCAAGCCUUGCCUGUUGCUGUUUUUUACCAAGUUAACACUUGGUGUGAACUGAGAACCUGUCAUCGAGGCUAGAGUCACGCUUGGGUAUCGGCUAUUGCCUGAGUGUGCUAGAGUCCUCGGAGAGUAACUGCUGACCUUAUUCACUGGCUGUGGGCCUUAUGGCACAGUCAGUCACCAGGUUAGAGACAUGCUUCACAUUCACCUACCCACAAACUAGUGGAUGAUAAAUUUUGGCUAUUCAGAAGACGUUUAUUAUAGGAGUAUGUAGAUUUUCCAUAGAGUGCUGUUAUGUAACUUGAAUUUUAGUCUCGGCCCUGCCUCUGA
rnacentral:sRNA from 1 species